CGGGUGAGUAACACGUAUGCAACCUGCCUGCCACAGCCGGAUAAUCGGGAGAAAUUCCGUCUAAUACGGCAUAAUGCAUCGACGGGACAUCCUGUUGGUGCCAAAGGUUGAUUCCGGUGGCGGAUGGGCAUGCGUCGCAUUAGUUAGUUGGCGGCGUAACGGACCACCAAGACGACGAUGCGUAGGGGUUCUGAGAGGAAGGUCCCCCACACUGGUACUGAGACACGGACCAGACUCCUACGGAAGGCAGCAG
rnacentral:rRNA from 1 species